rnacentral:rRNA from 1 species
UACAGAGGGGGCAAGCGUUGUCCGGAAUUACUGGGCGUAAAGGGCGCGUAGGCGGCCUUCUAAGUCGAACGUGAAAUCCCCGGGCUCAACCCGGGAACUGCGUCCGAUACUGGAAGGCUUGAAUCCGGGAGAGGGAUGCGGAAUUCCAGGUGUAGCGGUGAAAUGCGUAGAUAUCUGGAGGAACACCGGUGGCGAAGGCGGCAUCCUGGACCGGCAUUGACGCUGAGGCGCGAAAGCCAGGGGAGCAAACAGG